rnacentral:rRNA from 1 species
UACAGAGGGGGCGAGCGUUGUUCGGAAUUACUGGGCGUAAAGGGCGCGUAGGCGGUCAGCACAAGUCAGUUGUGAAAUCUCCGGGCUUAACUCGGAAAGGUCAACUGAUACUGUGCGACUAGAGUGCAGAAGGGGCAACUGGAAUUCUCGGUGUAGCGGUGAAAUGCGUAGAUAUCGAGAGGAACACCUGCGGCGAAGGCGGGUUGCUGGGCUGACACUGACGCUGAUGCGCGAAAGCCAGGGGAGCGAACGGG